rnacentral:lncRNA from 10 species
UUCUUUUCCCUGUUUUUCCCUUUGGCGGAAGUUCAGGAACCGGUGAAACCCUGUCUCUACUAAGAAUACAAAAAAAAAAAUUAGCCGGAGGUGGUUGAGGGCUCCUGUAGUCCCAGCUACUCGGGAGGCUGAGGCAGAAGAAUCGCUUGAACCCCGGGAGGCGGAGGUUACAAUCUGUUUCUUAGAAGUGGACACGUGAACUCUUACACAGAUCAAGAGGAGCAGCUCUGUAAAUAUUUCCCUGAGUUUUUUCAGCCUGCGCCCAGAAAUGAACAAGGACAGCUUGGAGGUUAGAGGCAAGAUGGAGUCGUUUAAGUUGGACCUCUUUCACUGUCUCAGUCAUAAUUUUGCAAAGGCGGUUUCAGUUGCAGACAAAAGGAUCCGCAGGCUCCAGUGACUGUCUGCAUGGCGGGAGAAAACACAAGGGCCCUAAUAAGAGUAAGAACCGCCGCUUUCUAAGAACCUACUGUGUGUCCAGCAGGGAUCUACAGCAUUGCAUUCAAUUCCGUCCUCCCCCACGCCUGCCUUUAAUUGAUAUGAUAAUAUACAAAUUUUUUAAUGAAUAACAAAUGUGCCACCAAUCACCUAGAACUAUUAGGGAGGCUCCAAAGCAUCAAAGGCUAAACUAAACACCAUGGCUGGAGAGGGAAUGAACUGGAGGAGGGAAAGGAGGAAAGACUGGGGGGACCCAGAGCUCUCCACCCUUGUCCUCUCGCUCCAGCCUGGUCUGUUCUUGCUCAUUCAGAAACUGGUUGGAGUAAAAAGAUUCCCCUUUUCAAGAUCGCCAAAAGUGGAACUGAUCGCUUUCGAAGGGACUCCUUCAGGAAGAAGGAGAAAAAUUCGAGAAACUUACCUGUUUCUCUCCCUGGAAUGCCUUCUGAACCCUGAGAUUUACUUUCCUCAAUAAAGAAGCUCGCCUCGCCCACCCAGCCCACUCUUCCUAGGAGCAGCGAGGAUCGCUGUCCCUCCAGCACAUACUAGUCAACUCGAGUCAUCUGAAUAUGGGCAUAUUGGGCACAUAUUUCUUUGUAAUGGUUCCUCUCCUAUUACAAUAUGUAUCUGUUGUUUCAUCGUUAGAUUGAAAGCUCUUUAAGAAUUAUGGUAACAGUGUUACAGCUCUUUCAGAAUUUGUUUAGCAGGUUUUCUGGUUUUCACAGGAAAAUAAAAUAAAAACAAUAAUUAUAAUAAUGGCUACCGUGUUUUGAAUGCUUGCUUUUAGGCUAUUAAGCACAG